CGCGAAUGGCUCAUUACAACAGCUAACAAAUCUACUUGAUCUUGACACAAUCCUACUUGGAUAACUGUGGUAAUUCUAGAGCUAAUACAUGCAUUAAAGCUCUGACCUUCGGGGAAGAGUGCAUUUAUUAGAACAAAACCAAGCGGCUUCGGCUGUUUUCGGUUGACUCAUAGUAACUGAGCUGAUCGCAUGGUCUUGCACCGGCGACGUGUCUUUCGAGUAUCUGCCGUAUCAACUUUCGAUGGUAGUGUAUCUGACUACCAUGGUGAUCACGCGUAACGGAGAAUAAGGGUUCGACUCCGGAGAGUUCGCCUGAGAAAUCGCGAACACAUCUAAGGAAGGCAGCAGGCGCGAAAAUUGCCCACUCUCAGCACGAGGAGGUGGUGACGAAAAAUAACGAGACCGUUCUCUACGAGGCCGGUCAUCGGAAUGGGUACAAUCUAAACCCUUUAACGAGUAUCUAUGAGAGGGCAAGUCUGGUGCCAGCAGCCGCGGUAAUUCCAGCU
rnacentral:rRNA from 1 species